CUACGGGAGGCAGCAGUGGGGAAUUUUGGACAAUGGGGCGAAAGCCUGAUCCAGCAAUGCCGCGUGAGUGAAGAAGGCCUUCGGGUUGUAAAGCUCUUUUGUCAGGGAAGAAACGGUGGAGGCUAAUAUCCUUCGCUAAUGACGGUACCUGAAGAAUAAGCACCGGCUAACUACGUGCCAGCAGCCGCGGUAA
rnacentral:rRNA from 1 species